GUGUCCCCUAGUGUCCUUCACACUGGGACUGUCCCUCAGUCCAGCCGCUAAGGAUGGACGCCUUGGGAAGGCAUCUUUCAGGAGGUACUUUGAAACUGUGCGUUGCUCCUCAAACUUUUGCCAUCUGAAUGCGGCAUCCAUCAGUGGAUCUCGCUGGCAAGGAUCAUUACCAAGGUGUUUGCCUAGUGGUGAUUUUGCAUUUCAAUCUUACCUUUUACAUUUAUUAAUCAGAAUUCUUCUGUCAGGAAGAACUGUCUUUUCUCCACCAUUUGCUUAUUUAUUCAAUGAUUUAUAUCAGUAAGGAUCUGUGGAUAUUUAUUUUAUGCUAUGGGUUAUAAUCCAAUUCUAUCAUCACUUAUUUUGUCAUUCAGGUUGUUCCAGCUUUGGCCAUUGGGAGCUCCUUCAGCUAACAGUCCCUGUGAGCCAGUGACCUCAGAACACUGGGCUAAGAGAUGUCCGGCCCUGGAACCACGGGCUUAUGGGAAUUCUCAUUUCGUGUGGUCAUCCCUGCUCACGCUGAUCCUCCGAGAGGACCCGGGGGGACACGCCUUCCUGCCCAUCCUGACGUGCCAGGUCCUCGCACAGGCUCCUUUCCCUCCGGACAUCUUCCUUCUCCAGUCAAGUCAGCACAAAAACAGCCCAGAGGAGCCAUGAAAACCGCUUUAUUAUUUCAGUUCUUUCAUUUCUUUGUUACAGACUUGGAACCAGCAAAACAUAAACUAAAUGUCAGGCUUGCAAUUUUCUGCUUCAAAAAUUGGCAAAUCCCACUGUGAAUCCUAGAGAGCACCACUUUGCUUUUGUUUCAUGGGUAAAAAGCCAGGCUCGGGGGGGAAAUGACUAAACGGCUCUUGACGUGGAACUCCCUGUCCUCCCACACGUCCGCACCCAUGAGCCCCUCACCGCCGCGCUUGCUUCUGUCCUCGGUCCCACACUCUGUGUCCCCCCCUAACAGGCCGUUUUAAAGGUGGGGAGAGUGGAGGAAACCUUCCUGAACACAACACCCAGCAGUCAUAAACGAAAAGAUGGAUAAAUGUGACUGCAAAAGUCUGUAUUAAAGGGGCUGGCCCCGUGGCCGAGUGGUUAAGUUUGCGCGCUCCGCUGCAGGCGGCCCAGUGUUU
rnacentral:lncRNA from 1 species